AGAACGAACGCUGGCGGCAUGCCUAACACAUGCAAGUCGAACGAAGCCUUCGGGCUUAGUGGCGCACGGGUGCGUAACGCGUGGGAAUCUACCCUUCGGUUGGGAAUAACACAGAGAAAUUUGUGCUAAUACCUUAUAAUGUCUACGGACCAAAGAUUUAUCGCCGAGGGAUGAGCCCGCGUAGGAUUAGCUAGUUGGUGGGGUAAUGGCCUACCAAGGCGACGAUCCUUAGCUGGUCUGAGAGGAUGAUCAGCCACACUGGGACUGAGACACGGCCCAGACUCCUACGGGAGGCAGCAGUGGGGAAUAGUGGACAAUGGGCGAAAGCCUGAUCCAGCAAUGCCGCGUGAGCGAUGAAGGCCUUAGGUUGUAAAGCUCGUUUACCCGGGAUGAUAAUGACAGUACCGGAGAAUAAGCUCCGGCUAACGUCCGUGCCAGCAGCCGAC
rnacentral:rRNA from 1 species